GGUUAAGUGACUAAGCGUACACGGUGGAUGCCUGGGCAGUCAGAGGCGAUGAAGGACGUACUAACUUGCGAUAAGCGCAGAUAAGGCAGUAAGAGCCGUUUGAGUCUGCGAUUUCCGAAUGGGGAAACCCAACUGCAUAAGCAGUUACUGUUAACUGAAUACAUAGGUUAACAGAGCAAACCGGGGGAACUGAAACAUCUAAGUACCCCGAGGAGAAGAAAUCAACCGAGAUUCCGGUAGUAGCGGCGAGCGAACCUGGAUUAGCCCUUAAGCACUCGGUGAAGUAGGUGAACAAGCUGGAAAGCUUGGCGAUACAGGGUGAUAGCCCCGUAACCGACGCUUCAUCGAGCGUGAAAUCGAGUAGGGCGGGACACGUGAUAUCCUGUCUGAAUAUGGGGGGACCAUCCUCCAAGGCUAAAUACUCCUGACUGACCGAUAGUGAACCAGUACCGUGAGGGAAAGGCGAAAAGAACCCCUGUGAGGGGAGUGAAAUAGAACCUGAAACCGUGUACGUACAAGCAGUAGGAGCACCUUCGUGGUGUGACUGCGUACCUUUUGUAUAAUGGGUCAGCGACUUAUAUUCAGUGGCAAGGUUAACCGUAUAGGGGAGCCGUAGCGAAAGCGAGUCUUAACUGGGCGCUCAGUCUCUGGAUAUAGACCCGAAACCGGGUGAUCUAGCCAUGGGCAGGUUGAAGGUUGAGUAACAUCAACUGGAGGACCGAACCGACUAAUGUUGAAAAAUUAGCGGAUGACUUGUGGCUAGGGGUGAAAGGCCAAUCAAACUCGGAGAUAGCUGGUUCUCCCCGAAAGCUAUUUAGGUAGCGCCUCGGACGAAUACUACUGGGGGUAGAGCACUGUUAAGGCUAGGGGGUCAUCCCGACUUACCAACCCUUUGCAAACUCCGAAUACCAGUAAGUACUAUCCGGGAGACACACGGCGGGUGCUAACGUCCGUCGUGGAGAGGGAAACAACCCAGACCGCCAGCUAAGGUCCCAAAGUAUUGCUAAGUGGGAAACGAUGUGGGAAGGCUCAGACAGCUAGGAUGUUGGCUUAGAAGCAGCCAUCAUUUAAAGAAAGCGUAAUAGCUCACUAGUCGAGUCGGCCUGCGCGGAAGAUGUAACGGGGCUAAGCAAUACACCGAAGCUGCGGCAAUGUCUUUUAGACAUUGGGUAGGGGAGCGUUCUGUAAGCCGUUGAAGGUGAAUCGUAAGGUUUGCUGGAGGUAUCAGAAGUGCGAAUGCUGACAUGAGUAACGACAAAGGGGGUGAAAAA
rnacentral:rRNA from 1 species